rnacentral:lncRNA from 1 species
UACUCUCUCUCUCUCUCUCUCUCUCUCUCUCUCUCUCUCUCUCUCUCUCUAUGUAUCUCUACGUACACAAACAAAUCCAAUGCCCCUUCCUACAUCUCCAUAACUCAACUAUGGGUGUGACAUUCCUCCUAUAUAUCUCAUCCAACAUCAUUCAAGGCUUGUUCUCUCACAAUUUUCUUCCUUGUUCAUAUUUUACAUCUUCUAUUCUAUUUCGCAAACUAGCUUAAUUGUCUUCUGCAUUGAUCACGAUUCAUGAAAGCCAAUUCAGAAGUGAAGGCACUCCUAAUUAGACAGGAUCUUUCUGGGACCUGUUCCAUGAGGUCAUGCCACACCUCUUAAUAAGUUUUCUCCCUCUGGCCACUCCCUUAGGCGCUUGGUUUACUGCUUUCAAUUCUCACUGAAUCACUCUUUAAGCAACACUAUUCUACCAAGAAGGUCUACCAUCCACUCAAUCUUAAAGUAUUCAACACAAAUUGCUUUCUCAGUUAUAUUAUUGGCUGCAUUAAUGCUUUCUUUAUUUUUGUGUUGAGACUUCAUAGUUCAUAUAAUUAUGUCAUAAAGAUAAAAAACCUGAAUUAGAUGGCAUAAGGCAGCUAUCCACACAAGAUGGCAAAAUAUCGGUAGCUACGAUUGCAAAUGCACCUGCAUUCAUUUCUUGACUAAACUAAUUUACGGAAAAAAAAAAAAGAAAACCCAACCAAUGAAAAAAUCUUGGCCCCACUCCUAAGCCAAAGCCCAAUAGAAACUACAAAGAAGUGCAUUAUGUGCCAUUAAUUCUCUUGGGUUACUAAAGUAACCUUUUGAACCUAAUGAUAAGGAGAAAUAACUAGUAUUGAUGCAAAGUAGAUUGAAGGGGAACUGUCCCCUCAAUAAUGGAAGGAUAGUCACCACUAAUUCAAAAUUCAUCACUGUAAUCCAUGACAGCUGAAACAAAAGGUAGGAGCACCAAUCACUAUCCAAACCCCUACUCUUCAACUUCAGAAUUAGAUUUAAUAUGCUCACACUGACUGCAUAGUAAGAUGACAAAAUAAUGCAAUUACAGAAAUUAUAGUUCAAUGGCGCAAUCAAACCAAAAAGAUGCUACCUGAAAACUAUAUCUGUACCUGAUAAUUUUCAGUAGUUAACCUGAAAGGGCAAGGUAAGGAGUGAUACAAUACCCAGAUGACCAUAUGACUUGUUAUGUGCCCACGUUAUUAGUAAUGGUUAAUUAGCAGGUUGAAGGUUUCUUAGAUGGAGUAUGUUAGCAGUUAGCUAUAUGCAGGGAAUCAAUCCUCUUUUGUUUCAUUAGGUUUCAAAUGUCAACAGGAAUCAAUUCUUUAUUUUCCAAUAGUUUCAGAACACACAGAAUAGUUAGUUCUACAAAAAGAGUUCACAUUAUUUGGAUCUUGUCAUGUAUCUAUUGAAUAAUGAUCAAUGGAAAAGGAAAAAUGCCUAAUGGGGAACCUCAUGCAUAUCAAUAAGUGACUAUCAAUAAGCUCAUGUAUUUGAUGUCAUUGUUGGAAUGACUCAUCAAUACAUAAUUAAGCACUUGUAUUUUGCAGGGGCAUGGUUAGCUUUAAAAGAUUUCCCCCUAUUCCAGCAACACCAUCUAGUAUUUAUGUAUUAGUAUUUAUGUAUUCUGAGACACACAGGACUUUUCAUUUGGAAUACAAGCCACACUGCAAUUUACUAUAUGCCAGCUAGAAGAUAUACUAAAGGUUAGCAUCCUCACCCAUUAGAUGAAAUUUUAUUCAAGCAAAUAAAAAACAACUGCACAAGUUUUGGAAUGGUUUCUUUACCUUAAAUCUGGAGGGGUAAUUUCAGCUCUUACAAGUGUUAAGAACCUGCGCUUAUUGGUCCGUUGCAAAAAAUCCCCUUUGUACAAUGCCUUGUUAUUUUGGUGAUAAAGUCGACCUAACCAUCAAACAAGACCAAAUUAAGCAAAAAAUCAUGCAAAACUUAAAGAACAUAAAAUGAUAAUAUUAUAAUACCAAUGACAACCAAAAAAAAACGAAAUUUCAAGACACAAAGUAAAAAUAUAAAAUGAAACAGAAAACCUUAGCGUAACAAGGAUCACAAAUUAAUGCCCAUUUAAUUGACAAUGCUUCCUGCAGACGCACGUGAAGAAUCCAGAAUCAAUUAUGGCAUCCAAAGGCUCCCAUAGCAUUAUAAAACAUAGGUGGAACAACACUGAAGAAGAUGAUAGUGUCCAGGAGUGGAUUACCAGAUAAUAUGUAUCAGACUCAUCAAACAUUAAUAUGCACACCUCUGUUCAGAUAAUUUCAAAAUUACCUACCAAUAUGUGGUACACAGUUGAUGCAAUCAAACAGAUAAAAGCUUUCUGAUUUAUCUAAGUCAAAACACUGAAUUUGAAUGUAGAAAUAGCAGGAUGUUAUUUAUCUGGCAAUUAAUUGCAAGGCCUUGGUUUCAAGCCAUCUUGGUACAGAAGCAAUUUGGCAGACUUGAAGUUCCUCACUCUGAACUCCUCACUGCCAUUUGAUCCACUCUCUCUUGUACUGCUGGUAGCUAACAUAGUCCAAACCUCUAGAGAGCUACAAUAGUAGUCCUAAUCAAGAUUAGGGUUCGGAUCAUGAUCAGGACUAGGGUUCUUCAGCAAGAUGGAAGUAUGAAUAAGGCUUUGGUAGGAUCAGGUUACCAUUUGAGGUAUGGCUAAGAUUUUGGUUAGAUUUCAGUUUUAAGUAUUGAGAAAAUUGUGGAAUGGCUGCACAGGAACAAGGAAAGAUGCUAAAAAGAAGAAUAGGGAGAAGUAGAAGAAUAUAUUCUUUUAUAGAAGAGCAAACUGGAAAUGAGGACUCCGCAGAUAGGUAACAUAUACCAUGAAGAUAACCAAAAUUCAAUGGUGGGACCCAACAAUAUGACCAGAGACCAAUGGUGGAGGUCAGACUUGAAGGCCUUGUCAAGAAGUGCAAGAUAAGGAAGACAAGAGUGAGAAAAUAGGUCAGUAUUGAAGGAAUAAGUAGGAAAUGGGGCCAAAGAGGGGUGCUGAUCCAUUUUCCCUCCGAACCAGUGAAGUUGCUGCACCUCAGAGUAGUUCAAGCCCCUAUGGAGAGUGCGCUCACUCCAUGGUCAUUGCUCAAGUCCAAGGAAAUAAUACAGGACACAUCGGUGGACCUUAAUCCAUGUCAUAUACCCUUAGAUGGGAUCCAAUGGUUUAGACUUUUUAAGAAAAUCCCAAUUCUUCAG